AUGGGUGGUGAAGGGUAUGACUCGAUGGUCAGGCAGACAUUUAAAAGCGAGAACGAAGCGUACAAGUUCUACUUAGGGAAAACACCUGGAAAGUCAAGUAGACAGACUAAGAUGACAAGGGGAACACAAACGCUUUCUCUUGGACCAUCAGUGCAUUAUGAAUCAGUAAGAGCAAGAAAACCACCAAGAUCCAAUACGUUCAUUCAGUUCAACAAUGAAUGA
rnacentral:rRNA from 1 species